GUGGGGAAUUUUGGACAAUGGGCGCAAGCCUGAUCCAGCAAUGCCGCGUGCAGGAUGAAGGCCUUCGGGUUGUAAACUGCUUUUGUACGGAACGAAACGGCUCUCUCUAAUACAGGGGGCUAAUGACGGUACCGUAAGAAUAAGCACCGGCUAACUACGUGCCAGCAGCCGCGGUAAUACGUAGGGUGCGAGCGUUAAUCGGAAUUACUGGGCGUAAAGCGUGCGCAGGCGGUUUUGUAAGCCAGAUGUGAAAUCCCCGGGCUUAACCUGGGAAUGGCAUUUGGGACCGCAAGGCUCGAGUGCGGCAGAGGAGACUGGAAUUCCUGGUGUAGCAGUGAAAUGCGUAGAUAUCAGGAGGAACACCGAUGGCGAAGGCAGGUCUCUGGGCUGACACUGACGCUCAUGCACGAAAGCGUGGGGAGCAAAC
rnacentral:rRNA from 1 species